rnacentral:tRNA from 1 species
GGCAGUGUGGGGUGGCGGGGAGUGUGCUGGCUUUGGAGUCAGAGGGCCUGGGUUCAAAUCCUAGCUCUGCCA